AUUGAACGCUGGCGGCAUGCUUUACACAUGCAAGUCGAACGGGAUGAGGGGGCAACUUCUCAUUCAGUGGCGAACGGGUGAGUAAUGCAUCGGAACGUACCCUGUAGUGGGGGAUAACGCCGGGAAACCGGCGCUAAUACCGCAUAUUUCUCUACGGAGGAAAGCGGGGGAUUCGCAAGAACCUCGCGCUAUGGGAGCGGCCGAUGUCCGAUUAGCUUGUUGGUGGGGUAAUGGCCCACCAAGGCUGCGAUCGGUAGCUGGUCUGAGAGGAUGAUCAGCCACACUGGGACUGAGACACGGCCCAGACUCCUACGGGAGGCAGCAGUGGGGAAUUUUGGACAAUGGGGGCAACCCUGAUCCAGCCAUGCCGCGUGCGGGAAGAAGGCCU
rnacentral:rRNA from 1 species